GGGCCUGUGGUCUAGUCCGGUUACAAAUAACAAUUGCCGAUGGUGAGGGUCGCCGGUUCGAAUCCGGCCAGGCCCA
rnacentral:tRNA from 1 species